rnacentral:rRNA from 1 species
AGUGAACGCUGGCGGCAGGCCUAACACAUGCAAGUCGAGCGGAUGAAGGGAGCUUGCUCCUGGAUUCAGCGGCGGACGGGUGAGUAAUGCCUAGGAAUCUGCCUGGUAGUGGGGGAGAACGUCCGGAAACGGGCGCUAAUACCGCAUACGUCCUGAGGGAGAAAGUGGGGGAUCUUCGGACCUCACGCUAUCAGAUGAGCCUAGGUCGGAUUAGCUAGUUGGUGGGGUAAAGGCCUACCAAGGCGACGAUCCGUAACUGGUCUGAGAGGAUGAUCAGUCACACUGGAACUGAGACACGGUCCAGACUCCUACGGGAGGCAGCAGUGGGGAAUAUUGGACAAUGGGCGAAAGCCUGAUCCAGCCAUGCCGCGUGUGUGAAGAAGGUCUUCGGAUUGUAAAGCACUUUAAGUUGGGAGGAAGGGCAGUAAGUUAAUACCUUGCUGUCUUGACGUUACCCACAGAAUAAGCACCGGCUAACUUCGUG